rnacentral:tRNA from 1 species
UUCAAGUUAGUUAAAGUAUAAUACUAUCUUUGGAAGUUAGAGUUGGAUAAUUCACUUGAAA